UUUUGGAGUCACACUGAUAUUUACUGGAUUUGGAAAAUUCCAUAAAGUGCUAUUUUGUUGGAUGAUACUUAUGAUAUUGAACUGUUUGAGCUUCGCAUCAUUUGGUUUUUGGGCCAAAACACGGAUAAGUUUGCUCCCCAAAGCACGCAUUAUCAAACUCUGGGAUAUAGCCUGGUUGGUGACAUAUAUAGUGUUUCAAAUAUGCUACUUCAUGUUAGCAAAAUAUUUUGUUGACACUUUCCGAUUCCCUCCUCCUUCAGCCUGUACUGUUCUCCUGGAGCAGAUAAGACUUUCAAUGAAACUUCAUGCAUUCAUCAGAACCAGUGCAGGACCUAUUCUUUGGUAUAAGCCGCAUACUGAGAGCGAUUUGCCACUUCCGAACUUUUCUGAAUAUUUCUACUUUCUUUUUGCUCCAACAAUCAUAUUCAGAACCAAUUA